GAUGAAGAACGUAGCGAAAUGCGAUAAGUAGUGUGAAUUGCAGAAUUCAGUGAAUCAUCGAAUCUUUGAACGCACAUUGCGCCCUUUGGUAUUCCUUAGGGCAUGCCUGUUCGAGCGUCAUUACAACCCUCAGGCCCCCGGGCCUGGCGUUGGGGAUCGGCGGAAGCCCCCUGCGGGCACAACGCCGUCCCCCAAAUACAGUGGCGGUCCCGCCGCAGCUUCCAUUGCGUAGUAGCUAACACCUCGCAACUGGAGAGCGGCGCGGCCACGCCGUAAAACACCCAACUUCUGAAUGUUGACCUCGAAUCAGGUAGGAAUACCCGCUGAACUUAAGCAUAUCAAUAAGCGGAGGA
rnacentral:misc_RNA from 1 species